CUCACUCUCACAAUGAGAAUUGCAAAUGAUCCCUCCUGUGUACAAAGCACUGCUUCUUUAGGAAGCCAGCUCGCUUCUUAAACCAGAGUGCUGGGAUCAGAUGUUAAGUCAGACUUGUUAUUUCCUUGGGCAGUCUGGAGUCCAAGAAGAGAUGCUCUUGUGCUUCAAGCAUGUCAACUCUGCCAUCAGAUUAACUUUCUCAGAGCUUGGUGCAGUCAGGAUUUGGAAUCUGCUGCAGUCAAGGCCCAAGUGCCCUCAUGGGGAACAAAUUCCUCCAUGCCCCCAGCGUGAAUCUCUCUCAUUUCACUUGAUGCCUGUUGUCUCUCCCCACACAGAGCCUGGCUCUUUCCCCUCCCUGCACGCAAGGUGGCUGCUCUGAGUUCUCUGAGGCCUCCAUGCCCAGGGCUGACCAGCCCCUCCUGGGGCCUCUCCUCUCAGGGCAGCUUCUCCACCUCUCCGAGGACAUCCCUGACCACACUCCAGCUUCCUGAUGUCCUUCCUGCACUGUGGAGCCCCAGACUGGAUGCAGCAUCUGAAUGUGGUCUGAAAAGCCCUGAGGCUAAUCCCCUCCUUGAUCUGCUGGUCCCUCCUCUGUAGCACCCACAAUGUGUGUACUGUCAGGCCACUUCAUCCUCUGCCCCAGGAACCUUCCUGCAGAGCUGCUCCAGGCCAGGCAGAUCCAGCCCCAGCUGAUGGAUGCUCUGCCUUCCAGAGCAGGAUUUUUCUUUUUCUUGUUUAACUUCACCAGGUCCCUGUUGUGCUGAUCCACCAGCCUGUCCAGGUCCCCCAUAUGCCAGCCCUGACCUUGAAGAUUUCUGCCUCACUCCUUCAAACUGGCAACAUCUGCAAACCUGAUGAGAGGGCACUUUCUCCAAGUCAUUGCUGAAGACAGACCCUGGGUUAGGAGUUGGAAAGAAGACUGCCAGUUCAUCACACACAACAGCCAAGGAAAGCUGCUAAAGCUACUCGUAUCACCAGCAAGAGGGCUCUUGAGUAGGACUGUGCAAAGAAAAGAAAAGACAACUGCAUCUUCCUUGGAGUCCACAGUGGGAGCUGCAGUUCGUGUAAGGGUGAGAGUUCUGGACAAUAAAUAUGAUGGCGAGUCAAAUACCAUUGUCAGCUGUAAAUCAAGACCUGAAAGCACAAAGCUGGAAGUCUGAGAGGAUAUAAACCAUGGGACCCACAUUUCAAAUAGUUGGAUGUGAUUGCUGUUCAUUAAAGUGCUGCCUCAAUAUUGUGUAGAUGUUAUUAAAGAGAUUUAUAAAAGAUAGAUGUUUUUAAAAAUAUCCCACCAUGAUGCAGAAGCCUGGAGAAAACAAAGUGCUAAAAAUGAACAUAUAUUUGUUUUUAUGUUGCCAUGAAUUUUAGUUCUUCGUGAUGCAUUACUCAAUUUGUCAAAGAAGUAGCAGCUGUGUUCCAAGAAAUAUAUGUUUGAAAAUAAUCCAAUUCGAAGAAGCAGAAGACUGCAGCUGGAAACAACCUUAUUUCUUCAGAGAAGAGACAGUAAAUCUGAAUUUUCCUUCCCCUUCUCCCUCCAAUUUAGACUAAAUCAGCCAGCUCUCCUGAUAAUUAAAAUAUUUCCUUCUCCAAAGCACAGGAUUUCUCCUUUAAACUUUCUGAAGGACAAAGGGAAGGGAGGAAAUGUGUGUUUUCUGCAAGACAUGGUCUCUGUUUUUCAAGGAGGAAAGGAGGCCCACACUUCCUUUUGGACAGACUAUUUGAAGUGGAACAAUCCAGCUGCUACAGAAACCUCAGGGAAACAAAUCUGGAUGAUCCUGGCAGUGGGGUAGAUUUGGAGGUGUGGAGGGAGUGGUUUGGUUGAUUUCUUUUUGAAGUGAGGAAUGCUGCAAGGACAGCUCCUCUCAUCCCUGUGCUCUGCAAGAAGGAAAAAACAGGGAUAAGUGUCAGCAUGAAGGGGGAAUUGGUGGGGAACAGAGAUCCUCUGGUCAGUCAUUUAUGUACCUAAUUCUGAGAAACCUCAUGUAAAUGUUAAAAGGGAUGAGAGGAAAUGGUCUCAGGCUGCACCAGGGAAGCUUUAGACUGGAUAUAAAGGAAAAUUUCUUCAUGGAAAGGGUUGUGAAGUAUGGAACAGGCUGCUCAGGGCAGUGGUGGACUCACCAACCCUGAAAGUGUUUUAAAAAUGUUUGGACAACAGGGUGGUGGUGCUGGUUGAU